rnacentral:tRNA from 1 species
UUUAGUUUGGCAGAUACAAAUGCAUUUAAUUUAGGAUUAAAAGAUACCAUAAGGUAACUAAUU